rnacentral:lncRNA from 1 species
AGGGCUAGGAGGAGCACAGACAGAUGUCCAGGGGCCUGGUACAAGCUGAGUGGGAUGUCUCCACUGCAGGGGCCUUCUGUCUAAUGGCCAGGGAACCUGGAACGUGAUUCAGCUCUCCCUGUGUCCUCAGCCUGGCUCCGGCACCAUGGCCAGGGUCCCACGCCAUGCCCGGCUUUAUAAAGAAAAGAGUUUUCUUGGAAUCACUUCUCCCCCCCCCCUACACACACACACACACACACACACACACACACACACACACACACACACACACAUCACGUGGGAUGUAGUCUGAAGGAAGAUGGGAAACAACGUCUCGCUGGGGCAAACAUUUUCUACUUGGUUCAACUGAUGUAUAUGACAAACAUGGAGGAGCCCCUUAUCACAGCGUUUAGGGGAGAUGCUGUUCUCAGUCUGACGGAGAGAGCUGGAGUCCUCCUUAUGUCCCCAGGCAGCGUGUUGGGCGAGUCCUUGGGUCAGGGGCCACUGUCUCUGCCCCAAGCCCCAGAGGGCCAAACAGGUCCUGGGCCAACCGGAUGGCCCCUCUUAGGCGUGUCCAUGGAAGUGGGAGUCGGGGAAGGAGAGUCUGGGAAACUAAGGGGUAGUGAAGUGGUCCACAGGGAGUCAAUUGUUAUUACCUCUCCAGGAACAAUGUUAGUUUUGAUGGAUUGUCCACCAGAGGAGAAGGCUGGUGUAUCACAAGAUGGUUCCAUGGGACUUCCCACAUAAUAUUGUCCCCCACAAAUACACGUCUAACUCCAAAGCAUGCAUCUCUGCCAGCUUCUGCUUGCCUGGACUUCUGGAUCCUUGUUAUUUGGAGCAUCCUUACUGGACGGGACGCACCUCUAGAUUAGAUUCUUGGACUCCCAGAUGCUCAUGCCUGAUUAUCUCAGAACAGACUGGAGACUGAUCGCUUCCCCUAGUAGAGUCAAGAAUGGCUGAGCAGGUCAAUGACCCAGGCCCAUUUCUCUGAGGCCAUUUUGGGGGGAGGGAAGGCCUGAUGGUCCUUUCCAUCACAGUAUGGCUCUCUCUGACUGU